rnacentral:rRNA from 1 species
UACGUAGGGUGCAAGCGUUAAUCGGAAUUACUGGGCGUAAAGCGUGCGUAGACGGCUAUCUAAGUCGGGUGUGAAAGCCCCGGGCUCAACCUGGGAAUUGCAUUCGAGACUGAAUAGCUAGGGUGCGGUAGAGGGAAGCGGAAUUUCCGGUGUAGCGGUGAAAUGCGUAGAUAUCGGAAGGAACAUCAGUGGCGAAAGCGGCUUCCUGGACCAGCACCGACGUUCAGGCACGAAAGCGUGGGGAGCAAACAGG